CCCUAGAGGAGCCUGUUCCAUAAUCGAUAAACCCCGAUACACCUCACCCUCUCUUGCUUAGCCUAUAUACCGCCAUCUUCAGCAAACCCUGAUAAAGGUUACAAAGUGAGCACAAACGCCCUGCCGCCGCAAAAACGUUAGGUCAAGGUGUAGCCCAUGAGAGGGGUAAAAAUGGGCUACAUUUUCUACAUCAGAAAACCCCACGAAAACUCUUAUGAAACCUAAGAGUCCAAGGAGGAUUUAGCAGUAAAUUAAGAAUAGAGUGCUUAAUUGAACCAGGCCAUAAAGCGCGUACACACCGCCCGUCACUCCCCUCAAAUGUAUUUAAAGAACAUCUUAACUAAACACCCUAAUAUUUACAUAGAGGGGAUAAGUCGUAACAUGGUAAGUGUACUGGAAGGUGCACUUGGAC
rnacentral:rRNA from 1 species